rnacentral:rRNA from 1 species
AUUGAACGCUGGCGGCAUGCCUUACACAUGCAAGUCGAACGGCAGCACGGGAGCAAUCCUGGUGGCGAGUGGCGAACGGGUGAGUAAUAUAUCGGAACGUGCCCAGUCGUGGGGAUAACGUAGCGAAAGCUACGCUAAUACCGCAUACGAUCUAUGGAUGAAAGCGGGGGAUCGCAAGACCUCGCGCGAUUGGAGCGGCCGAUAUCAGAUUAGGUAGUUGGUGAGGUAAAGGCUCACCAAGCCGACGAUCUGUAGCUGGUCUGAGAGGACGACCAGCCACACUGGGACUGAGACACGGCCCAGACUCCUACGGGAGGCAGCAGUGGGGAAUUUUGGACAAUGGGCGAAAGCCUGAUCCAGCAAUGCCGCGUGAGUGAUGAAGGCCUUAGGGUUGUAAAGCUCUUUUACCCGAGAUGAUAAUGACAGUAUCGGGAGAAUAAGACUCCGGCUAACUCCGUGCCAGCAGCCGCGGU